CCUACGGGAUGCAGCAGUGGGGAAUAUUGCGCAAUGGGCGAAAGCCUGACGCAGCGACGCCGCGUGAGGGAUGAAGGUCUUCGGAUCGUAAACCUCUGUCAGCAGGGAAGAACGGUCACUGUGCUAAUCAGCAGUGAAUUGACGGUACCUGCAAAGGAAGCACCGGCUAACUCCGUGCCAGCAGCCGCGGUAAUACGGAGGGUGCGAGCGUUAAUCGGAAUUACUGGGCGUAAAGCGCUCGUAGGCGGUAUGUCAAGUCAAGGGUGAAAUCCCCGCGCUCAACGUGGGAACUGCCUUUGAAACUGGCAAACUGGAGUGUGGGAGAGGAUAGUGGAAUUCCAGGUGUAGCAGUGAAAUGCGUAGAUAUCUGGAGGAACAUCAGUGGCGAAGGCGACUAUCUGGCACAUAACUGACGCUGAGGAGCGAAAGCGUGGGUAGCAAACAGGAUUAGAUACCCUUGUAGUC
rnacentral:rRNA from 1 species